UACAGAGGUCUCAAGCGUUGUUCGGAUUCAUUGGGCGUAAAGGGUGCGUAGGUGGCGCUGUAAGUCGGGUGUGAAAUUUCGGAGCUUAACUCCGAAACUGCAUUCGAUACUGCGGUGCUUGAGGACUGGAGAGGAGACUGGAAUUCAUGGUGUAGCAGUGAAAUGCGUAGAUAUCGUAAGGAAGACCAGUGGCGAAGGCGGAUCUCUGGACAGUUACUGACACUGAGGCACGAAGGCCAGGGGAGCAAACGGG
rnacentral:rRNA from 1 species